rnacentral:rRNA from 2 species
CUCGUAGGUGGCCAACUAAGUCAGACGUGAAAUCCCUCGGCUUAACCGGGGAACUGCGUCUGAUACUGGAUGGCUUGAGUUUGGGAGAGGGAUGCGGAAUUCCAGGUGUAGCGGUGAAAUGCGUAGAUAUCUGGAGGAACACCGGUGGCGAAGGCGGCAUCCUGGACCAAUACUGACGCUGAGGAGCGAAAGCCAGGGGAGCAAACG